rnacentral:rRNA from 1 species
AGAGUUUGAUCCUGGCUCAGGACGAACGCUGGCGGCGUGCCUAAUACAUGCAAGUCGAACGCAUUUUCUUUCACUGUAGCUUGCUACACCGAAAGAAAAUGAGUGGCGAACGGGUGAGUAACACGUGGGUAACCUGCCCAUCAGCGGGGGAUAACACUUGGAAACAGGUGCUAAUACCGCAUAAUUCCAUUUACCGCAUGGUAGAUGGAUGAAAGGCGCUUUUGCGUCACUGAUGGAUGGACCUGCGGUGCAUUAGCUAGUUGGUGGGGUAACGGCCUACCAAGGCUGCGAUGCAUAGCCGACCUGAGAGGGUGAUCGGCCACACUGGGACUGAGACACGGCCCAGACUCCUACGGGAGGCAGCAGUAGGGAAUCUUCGGCAAUGGACGCAAGUCUGACCGAGCAACGCCGCGUGAGUGAAGAAGGUUUUCGGAUCGUAAAACUCUGUUGUUAGAGAAGAACAAGGAUGAGAGUGGAAAGUUCAUCCCUUGACGGUAUCUAACCAGAAG